AAUAUUAGGUUUAUAUUAUAAUUCAAGGCUUAUCAAUGUUGUGUAGGUUUGGCUGCUUGCCCAAGAUGUCUGUGCUAAAGUUUCUGCCAUUGCGGAUUUCUCGGGAUAAGACAAACAGAAUGAGUAAUGCUGUUCAUAUUCGAGCUCAAAUUGAGAGAGUUGGGGAAGAUGCUCUUCUCUAGGAGGCAGUGAAGAACGUUCUUCUGCAGAUUGUACAAGUGCUAACAGCAGACAUCAGGUUUCAUCCCUUUCCCAUUCUGUUGAUUGUUUGAGCUGCAUGAAUCUGACUCGUUAUGUUAAGAGGUAUCAUUGGUCAGGAUGGGAAAUGGAAUGCAGUUGCCAUCCCCUAGCUUUGACUUGCAUAUUCAAGGUGGAUAUGGAUGACUUUGAAGGCACUUGCAAUGCCCUUUGAGAAGUGCAAGUCAUCAGAUUUGCUAGCGGAGAAGAAGAAAGCUCUGGUUGGUCCAAAGAAGUCAAAGCAUGACAAGUUGGAUAAAUUAGUGGCCUUAAGUCAGCGUCUACGUCUGCACAUAUUCUGAAACAGGUGAACCAUUGAAGACAUCAUUCUUCGUGACCAACUCUGUACAGUAUAAUGUGUUCCUAACUGUAAUUCUUUCUCAUUUUUCUUCUGUUUUUGUUUCGUAUUUUCUCUGCUGUAGGUCU